AGAGAGAGACAUGCGCGCAUAUCAAUAAGCGGAGGAAAAGAAACUAACAAGGAUUCCCCUAGUAACGGCGAGUGAAGCGGGAAGAGCUCAAAUUUGAAAUCUUAAAGGGUUUCCCUUUACGAAUUGUAGUUUAAAGAAGUGUUUUCUGUUGAGGUUUUGGUAAAAGUUCUUUGGAAUAGGACAUCAUAGAGGGUGAGAAUCCCGUAUUUGACCUUUACUUUCAACUUUGUGAUACACUUUCAAAGAGUCGGAUUGUUUGGGAAUGCAGUCCAAAAUGGGUGGUAAAUUUCAUCUAAAGCUAAAUAUUGGCGAGAGACUGAUAGCGAACAAGUACCGUGAGGGAAAGAUGAAAAGAACUUUGAAAAGAGAGUUAAACAGUACGUGAAAAUUGUCAAGAAGGGAAGCGUUUGACACCAGUGUUGUUUUUCUGAAAAUCAAUUAAAGAACUGUUUAUGCUAAGUUGUUUAGACUUUAUCAGCUAACUGUUUAGUUUUGAGCUUUUCUUUAAUGCACUUUUCAGUUAACAAGUCAACAUCAAUUUCUUUUGCUGUAAAAAAGCUUGAGGAAGGUGGCUUGAGAUUCGUCUUAAGUGUUUAUAGCCUCUUGCCUAUGCAGUCGGAGAGAUUGAGGUCUGCAGCGUAGAUCCUUCGGGGCUAAAUGCAUUUGUGCUAAGUUAUAGCAUUUUAUAGACAACUUGUUGACUAUGAUUUGUCUUGUAGCUUACUCGCUUAUGUUAUUUUACCUACGCUUAGGAUGUUGACGCAUGAGAUAUACGC
rnacentral:rRNA from 1 species